AGAGUUUGAUCAUGGCUCAGGAUGAACGCUGGCGGCGUGCCUAACACAUGCAAGUCGAGCGAUUCUCUUCGGAGAAGAGCGGCGGACGGGUGAGUAACGCGUGGGUAACCUGCCCUGUACACACGGAUAACAUACCGAAAGGUAUGCUAAUACGAGAUAAUAUGCUUUUAUCGCAUGGUAGAAGUAUCAAAGCUCCGGCGGUACAGGAUGGACCCGCGACUGAUUAGCUAGUUGGUAAGGUAACGGCUUACCAAGGCGACGAUCAGUAGCCGACCUGAGAGGGUGAUCGGCCACAUUGGAACUGAGACACGGUCCAAACUCCUACGGGAGGCAGCAGUGGGGAAUAUUGCACAAUGGGCGAAAGCCUGAUGCAGCAACGCCGCGUGAGCGAUGAAGGCCUUCGGGUCGUAAAGCUCUGUCCUCAAGGAAGAUAAUGACGGUACUUGAGGAGGAAGCCCCGGCUAACUACGUGCCAGCAGCCGCGGUAAUACGUAGGGGGCUAGCGUUAUCCGGAAUUACUGGGCGUAAAGGGUGCGUAGGUGGUUUCUUAAGUCAGAGGUGAAAGGCUACGGCUCAACCGUAGUAAGCCUUUGAAACUGGGGAACUUGAGUGCAGGAGAGGAGAGUGGAAUUCCUAGUGUAGCGGUGAAAUGCGUAGAUAUUAGGAGGAACACCAGCUGCGAAGGCGGCUCUCUGGACUGUAACUGACACUGAGGCACGAAAGCGUGGGGAGCAAACAGGAUUAGAUACCCUGGUAGUCCACGCCGUAAACGAUGAGUACUAGCUGUCGGAGGUUACCCCCUUCGGUGGCGCAGCUAACGCAUUAAGUACUCCGCCUGGAAGUACGCUCGCAAGAGUGAAACUCAAAGGAAUUGACGG
rnacentral:rRNA from 1 species